AUUGAACGCUGGCGGCAUGCCUUACACAUGCAAGUCGAACGGUAACGCGGGGCAACCUGGCGACGAGUGGCGAACGGGUGAGUAAUAUAUCGGAACGUGCCCAGUAGUGGGGGAUAGCCCCGGCGAAAAGCCGGAUUAAUACCGCAUACGACCUACGGGUGAAAGCGGGGGAUCGCAAGACCUCGCGCUAUUAGAGCGGCCGAUAUCAGAUUAGGUAGUUGGUGGGGUAAAGGCCUACCAAGCCUACGAUCUGUAGCUGGUCUGAGAGGACGACCAGCCACACUGGGACUGAGACACGGCCCAGACUCCUACGGGAGGCAGCAGUGGGAAUUUUGGACAAUGGGCGCAAGCCUGAUCCAGCCAUGCCGCGUGCGGGAAGAAGGCCUCGGUU
rnacentral:rRNA from 1 species